GAACAACACCACCUCCAACGACCAACCACUACUGAAGAUGCGCACCUGACUCUAAAACAUCGCUGAAUCAAGGAGUGACAGUAUUUCAUUGAGGCAUUUUAAAGUAGAGCAAUAUGCUUCAAUUACUUCUGAGUAGUUUCAACUCAAUUUGGGAAACUAACUGUGGACCAGGACACCUCAUUCUAGGCACAUGUAUAAAACAACAGUCCGUGUCCAGGCAAGUCUGAUGAAGGAGCCACUGAUCUUCUAGACGAGACUAGGAGUCAUCUUCAGUAGCCUAAGCCAGGAAAUGGCCUCUGGAUGGGUGGCUACUGAAGUGGAGAACACUAUGAAUAUGCAGAGAGCCCAUGGGGAAUACAGAGAGAGACUGAUCAGCAAAGAAAUCUGCUUAAGGUGUCAGAAAGCUUAUGAAAAAAG